CGGUAAUUCCAGCUCCAAUAGCGUAUACUAAAGUUGUUGCAGUUAAAAAGCUCGUAGUUGGAUUUCUGCGGGGACGGAGCGGCCGGUCGCAACUUGCGACUCGAGCUAGCGCUUUCCCCGCAUCCUGCCGCGAACCGUGCUACCAUUAGCUUGGUGGCGCUGGGGAUCGGCUCGAUUACUUUGAGAAAAAUAGAGUGUUCAAAGCAGGCCACACGCCUUGAAUAAGUUAGCAUGGAAUAAUGACUAAGGACUUCGGUUCUAUUUUGUUGGUGUUCGGGACUGAAGUAAUGAUUGAUAGGGACAGUUGGGGCGGUCUGUAUUCCAAAGCGAGAGGUGAAAUUCUUAGACCUUCGGAAGAUAAACAGCUGCGAAAGCGUUCCGCAAGGAUGUUCCCUUUGAUCAAGAACGAAAGUUGGGGGAUCGAAGACGAUCAGAUACCGUCGUAGUCUCAACUAUAAACUAUACCAGCUAGGGAUCGGUCAACGUUUAAUCAUUCGACUUGAUCGGCACCUUAUGAGAAAUCAAAGCAUCUGGGUUCCGGGGGGAGUAUGGUCGCAAGGCUGAAACUUAAAGGAAUUGACGGAAGGGCACCACCAGCCGUGGAGCCUGUGGCUUAAUUUGACUCAACACGGGAAAACUUACCAGGUCCAGACAUAGUAAGGAUUGACAGAUUGAUAGCUCUUUCUUGAUUCUGUGGGUGGUGGUGCAUGGCCGUUCUUAGUUGGUGGAGUGAUUUGUCUGGUUAAUUCCGUUAACGAACGAGACCCCAGCCUGCUAAAUAGCGCGGUUGAGCUUUGCUCGAUGCGAGCUUCUUAGAGGGACUAUGAUGCGCGAUAGCACAUGGAAGUUUGGGGCAAUAACAGGUCUGUGAUGCCCUUAGAUGUUCUGGGCCGCACACGGGCUACACUGGCGCCUGCAACGAGCAUAUCAGCUGGCCCGAGAGGGUCUUGGCUAAUCUUUUGAACCGGCGCCGUGCUUGGGAUUGACCAUUGCAAUUGUUGGUCAUGCAACGAGGAAUGCCUUGUAAAGUGCGAGUCAUCAGCUCGCAUUGAAUACGUCCCUGCCCUUUGUACACACCGCCC
rnacentral:rRNA from 1 species